GGGUCUACUAUUAUUCAAAGUAUUAAUUAAACAGCUUACGUAAUUUGUAUUAUAUGAAAGUCCAGAUUCAGGAUAUACAUAUGAAUGCCAAGGUACGCACGUCUUUCACAGAAUUUAAACAAAAUCCAAUGAGAGUCAAAUGUAGGGAAUGUAUAGAAACGUGUGGGUUUUGAUUUUUUUGUUCUUUUUUUUUGAAUAAAGGAUGGAUACUCUAAUUAUAAAAAUUGAGAGGGUUGCGCGCGCCAAAAUCUAGCCCAGGUCCAGUAGUCUUUUUGUUUUGGGGUAGUAAACCCAUUUAACUAGAACUAGUCUCAAACCCAACAAAUUUUUGUUUUCAUAUUAUAUUUAUGUAAUAUAAUUUGAUGAUCUUAUCUUCCGUAUGAAAUAUUUUAUUCUGUUACGUUCUUUCACUAAAACUUCAGAUAAACUUUCUACUAGAC
rnacentral:lncRNA from 1 species